UUUGGGGAAAAUUAAAAUAAAAUUAUUUUUAUAAAAAUUGAUCUUUACAAAACUAAAUGAAAAAGGUACUCUAGGGAUAACAGCGUUAUAGUUAUUAAAGCCCAUAUUUAAGUAACUGUUU
rnacentral:rRNA from 1 species